rnacentral:rRNA from 1 species
UGGGGAAUAUUGGACAAUGGGCGAAAGCCUGAUCCAGCCAUGCCGCGUGUGUGAAGAAGGUCUUCGGAUUGUAAAGCACUUUAAGUUGGGAGGAAGGGCAGUAAGUUAAUACCUUGCUGUUUUGACGUUACCAACAGAAUAAGCACCGGCUAACUUCGUGCCAGCAGCCGCGGUAAUACGAAGGGUGCAAGCGUUAAUCGGAAUUACUGGGCGUAAAGCGCGCGUAGGUGGUUCAGCAAGUUGGAUGUGAAAUCCCCGGGCUCAACCUGGGAACUGCAUCCAAAACUACUGAGCUAGAGUACGGUAGAGGGUGGUGGAAUUUCCUGUGUAGCGGUGAAAUGCGUAGAUAUAUGGAGGAACACCAGUGGCGAAGGCGACUCUCUGGUCUGUAACUGACGCUGAGGCUCGAAAGCGUGGGUAGCAAACAGGAUUAGAUACCCUGGUAGUCCACGCCGUAAACGAUGAGUGCUAAGUGUUGGAGGGUUUCCGCCCUUCAGUGCUGCAGUUAACGCAUUAAAGCACUCCGCCUGGGGAGUACGACCGCAAAGGUUG